CUAAUUCAUAAAUAAGAAGGAUAAGGGCGGAUGUAGCCAAGUGGAUCAAGGCAGUGGAUUGUGAAUCCACCAUGCGCGACU
rnacentral:tRNA from 1 species